rnacentral:rRNA from 1 species
AACUUUCAACAACGGAUCUCUUGGUUCUGGCAUCGAUGAAGAACGCAGCGAAAUGCGAUAAGUAAUGUGAAUUGCAGAAUUCAGUGAAUCAUCGAAUCUUUGAACGCACAUUGCGCCCGCCAGUAUUCUGGCGGGCAUGCCUGUUC